GUGCUGUGUGAAAGGAGAGAAGGUUAGCACUCCCCUUAACAAAGAUAGAAGAGGCCCUCAGGCCUGACAACACGCAUAUGGAUUAAGGCAUUGCCGCCUACUUCGUGGUAUCUACCCAACGUUUCAU
ensembl:snRNA